rnacentral:rRNA from 1 species
UGUUGGGUAGGGGAGCGUUCUGUAAGCCGUUGAAGGUGUCCUGUGAGGGGUGCUGGAGGUAUCAGAAGUGCGAAUGCUGACAUAAGUAACGAUAAAGCGGGUGAAAAGCCCGCUCGCCGGAAGACCAAGGGUUCCUGUCCAACGUUAAUCGGGGCAGGGUGAGUCGACCCCUAAGGCGAGGCCGAAAGGCGUAGUCGAUGGGAAACGGGUUAAUAUUCCCGUACUUGGUGUUACUGCGAAGGGGGGACGGAGAAGGCUAUGUUGGCCGGGCGACGGUUGUCCCGGUUUAAGCGUGUAGGUGUGUGUUCCAGGUAAAUCCGGUUCACUUUAACACUGAGGCGUGAUGACGAGGCACCACGGUGCUGAAGCAACAAAUGCCCUGCUUCCAGGAAAAGCCUCUAAGCAUCAGGUAACAUCAAAUCGUACCCCAAACCGACACAGGUGGUCAGGUAGAGAAUACCAAGGCGCUUGAGAGAACUCGGGUGAAGGAACUAGGCAAAAUGGUGCCGUAACUUCGGGAGAAGGCACGCUGACACGUAGGUGAAGUGAUUUACUCAUGGAGCUGAAGUCAGUCGAAGAUACCAGCUGGCUGCAACUGUUUAUUAAAAACACAGCACUGUGCAAACACGAAAGUGGACGUAUACGGUGUGACGCCUGCCCGGUGCCGGAAGGUUAAUUGAUGGGGUCAGCGCAAGCGAAGCUCCUGAUCGAAGCCCCGGUAAACGGCGGCCGUAACUAUAACGGUCCUAAGGUAGCGAAAUUCCUUGUCGGGUAAGUUCCGACCUGCACGAAUGGCGUAAUGAUGGCCAGGCUGUCUCCACCCGAGACUCAGUGAAAUUGAACUCGCUGUGAAGAUGCAGUGUACCCGCGGCAAGACGGAAAGACCCCGUGAACCUUUACUAUAGCUUGACACUGAACAUUGAGCCUUGAUGUGUAGGAUAGGUGGGAGGCUUUGAAGCGUGGACGCCAGUCUGCGUGGAGCCGACCUUGAAAUACCACCCUUUAAUGUUUGAUGUUCUAACGUGGACCCGUAAUCCGGGUUGCGGACAGUGUCUGGUGGGUAGUUUGACUGGGGCGGUCUCCUCCUAAAGAGUAACGGAGGAGCACGAAGGUUGGCUAAUCCUGGUCGGACAUCAGGAGGUUAGUGCAAUGGCAUAAGCCAGCUUGACUGCGAGCGUGACGGCGCGAGCAGGUGCGAAAGCAGGUCAUAGUGAUCCGGUGGUUCUGAAUGGAAGGGCCAUCGCUCAACGGAUAAAAGGUACUCCGGGGAUAACAGGCUGAUACCGCCCAAGAGUUCAUAUCGACGGCGGUGUUUGGCACCUCGAUGUCGGCUCAUCACAUCCUGGGGCUGAAGUAGGUCCCAAGGGUAUGGCUGUUCGCCAUUUAAAGUGGUACGCGAGCUGGGUUUAGAACGUCGUGAGACAGUUCGGUCCCUAUCUGCCGUGGGCGCUGGAAGACUGAGGGGGGCUGCUCCUAGUACGAGAGGACCGGAGUGGACGCAUCACUGGUGUUCGGGUUGUCAUGCCAAUGGCACUGCCCGGUAGCUAAAUGCGGAAAAGAUAAGUGCUGAAAGCAUCUAAGCACGAAACUUGCCCCGAGAUGAGUCUUCCCUGAGACCUUGAGUCUCCUGAAGGAACGUUAAAGACGAUGACGUUGAUAGGCCGGGUGUGUAAGCGCAGCGAUGCGUUGAGCUAACCGGUACUAAUGAACCGUGAGGCUUAACCUUACAACGCCGAAG